AGUUUGAUCAUGGCUCAGAACGAGCGUUGGCGGUGUGCCUAAUACAUGCAAGUCGAGCGAGAAAACCGGGGCAACUCGGUGAGUACAGCGGCGGAAGGGUGCGUAAUACAUGGAUAACGUACCCCCCAGUCGGGGAUAACCCUCCGAAAGGUGGGCUAAUACCGAGCAUAAUGGCAGCGGGUGGCAUCACUUGCUGCUUAAAGACGCAAGUCGCUGGGGGAGCGGUCCAUGGCCUAUCAGCUAGUUGGCGGGGUAACGGCCCACCAAGGCAAUGACGGGUAGCCGGACUGAGAGGUUGAACGGCCACACGGGAACUGAGACACGGUCCCGACAUCUACGGAUGGCAGCAGUAGGGAAUCUUGCGCAAUGGGCGAAAGCCUGACGCAGCGACACCGCGUGGGGGAUGAAGGCCUUCGGGUUGUAAACCCCUUUCAUGAGGGAAGAACACUGACCUAACCUCAGGAAGAAGCACCGGCUAACUCCGUGCCAGCAGCUGCGGUAAUACGGAGAGUGCAAACGUUGUUCGGAUUUACUGGGCGUAAAGGGCACGUAGGCGGCUCGGCAAAUCGGUCGUGGAAUCUCGACGCUUACCGUCGAAACGGCGGCCGAAAAUACCGGGCUCGAGGGCGUGAGGGGUCACUGGAACUCCUGGUGAAGCGGUGAAAUGCGUAGAUAUCAGG
rnacentral:rRNA from 1 species